UGACGGACGGGUGAGUAACGCGUGGAAAACCUGCCGUAUACUGGGGGAUAACACUUAGAAAUAGGUGCUAAUACCGCAUAAGCGCACAGCUUCGCAUGAAGCGGUGUGAAAAACUCUGGUGGUAUACGAUGGUUCCGCGUCUGAUUAGCUAGUUGGUGGGGUAAUGGCCUACCAAGGCAACGAUCAGUAGCCGGCCUGAGAGGGUGAACGGCCACAUUGGGACUGAGACACGGCCCAAACUCCUACGGAAGGCAGCAG
rnacentral:rRNA from 1 species